CAUACAUACAUACACCAUCUCUGCAAGGAC
rnacentral:piRNA from 1 species